GGGGGCGGCUGGCCUAAUGGUAAGGCGCUUGAUUUCGGUUCAGAUUCUCAAGAGAUUAUGGGUUCGAUCCCCAUGUCGCUCUU
rnacentral:tRNA from 1 species